rnacentral:tRNA from 1 species
GUCCCUGGGUGGUACAGUUAAUGUGCUCGGUUGCUAACCGAAAGGUUGGUGGUUCAAGUCCACCCAGAGGCA